UUCUGGCUCAGUUGGUAGAGCAUGGCACUUGCAAUGUCAGGGUUAUGGGUUCAAUUCCUACGGA
rfam:Salmo salar isolate Sally breed double haploid chromosome ssa14, whole genome shotgun sequence.